rnacentral:misc_RNA from 1 species
AACGCACCUUGCACCCAUUGGUAUUCCUUUGGGUAUGCCUGUUUGAGUAUCAUGAAACCCUCUCAACCGUAAACUGUUUUGCGACGGUCAAAUCGGUUGGACUUGGAUGUUUUUUUGCCGUGAUUUUUUUUUCUCGGCUCAUCCGAAAUGCAUUAGCUAGGAUCUGUCUUUGCUCGAACUCGGUGUGAUAAUUAUCAUUUCGCUGAGGGGAGGAAACGGAAUCUGCUUCUAAUCCGUCUCUUUUUUGAGACGCUUCUUUUUGAAUCUGAUCUCAAAUCAGGUAGGACUACCCGCUGAACUUAA